GAUGAACGCUGGCGGCGUGCCUAAUACAUGCAAGUCGAGCGAACAGACGAGGAGCUUGCUCCUCUGACGUUAGCGGCGGACGGGUGAGUAACACGUGGAUAACCUACCUAUAAGACUGGGAUAACUUCGGGAAACCGGAGCUAAUACCGGAUAAUAUAUUGAACCGCAUGGUUCAAUAGUGAAAGACGGUUUUGCUGUCACUUAUAGAUGGAUCCGCGCCGCAUUAGCUAGUUGGUAAGGUAACGGCUUACCAAGGCAACGAUGCGUAGCCGACCUGAGAGGGUGAUCGGCCACACUGGAACUGAGACACGGUCCAGACUCCUACGUGAUGCAGCAGUAGGGAAUCUUCCGCAAUGGGCGAAAGCCUGACGGAGCAACGCCGCGUGAGUGAUGAAGGUCUUCGGAUCGAAAAACUCUGUUAUUAGGGAAGAACAAAUGUGUAAGUAAAUAUGCACGUCUUGACGGUACCUAAUCAGAAAGCCACGGCUAACUACGUG
rnacentral:rRNA from 1 species